AUUCUCUCUCAAAUUUUAGCUUUUUAAUAUUGCAAAAAAUUAUGGUUCUUAAGAAGACAUUAGCAUUUUCAUGCAAUAAUCUUCUCCAGCUAUUGGCCUUCAUCUUUCUCUUUUUUCUUCUCAUCACAACCACAGGUUCUUCAGCAAGGAGUUUAGUAGAAGGGAGGAGUCGAAAUGACGACGAUCCUUACGUCAAAAACCAUAGCGGAGUGAUUGGAAACGACUUGGUGACAAUGGAUUAUACUCCGGCGAGGAAGAACCAUCCAAUUCAUAACUAGCAAAAAUUACUAAUAACUAUUGGUAAUAAUGUUUUUAGAGUAUGUUUGUUUGGAAUUUGAAUCGGAAGAAAUUAUAUAUGUUUUCUUCUUUGUAUUUUCCUUUAUUCAUAGAGAAAGUUAAAGUAAAAACCUAAGCUUGAAUGCUAAACAUUAUCUAUCUAUAUAUGAUAUGAAAUGAUAUUUUCUACCGUU